AAUCCAUGAUGUGGGCAUUAAGCUCUUAGAACGCUCCCAAGCUUUGUGAAAACUCUCUCCAUCUAAUUGUUUGAACAUAGAAAAUUCCCUUUUUAGUUG
rfam:Gossypium raimondii Chr02_contig_720, whole genome shotgun sequence.